rnacentral:rRNA from 1 species
AUGGUCUUAUCCGAUACAAUUAAAGGCCGGGUGUGGCUGGGCAACAACACAACAACACAACAAAAGAUUCUGCAUGAACUGCACGCAAGUGCCCUGGGAGGCCACUCAGGAGUGCAUGCAACCUACAAUCGCAUUAUCCGGCUCUUCGCAUGGCCGAAACUGAAACAAACAGUCAAGAAGUUUGUGGCAGGGUGUGCUACGUGCAAACAAGCCAAGCCUGAGCACGUGAAAUAUCCAGGGCUGUUGCAACCACUGCCGGUUCCGGACCAUGCGUGGGAAAUGGUGACUCUGGACUUCGUGGAAGGGCUUCCAACAUCCAAGGGCUACAACUCCAUUCUGGUGGUGGUGGAUAAGCUCACUCGGUAUGCACAUUUUAUCCUGCUGAAGCAUCCGUUUUCUGCUCUGCAAGUUGCAAAGGCAUACAUGGAGAAUGUGUUCAAACUGCAUGGACCACCCGAUAAGAUGGUGUAUGGACAGAAUUGUGCCGGCUGA